ensembl:lncRNA
AUUAGACGUGCCCCUUUGACCGGCCAAAUGGGAAUUGUAGUUGGGGCCCAGAAUUCCUAGCGGCGCCUCUGGAUGCUUCUUAUUAUCUGUCAUCAAGCGAGACGUCUGUCUUCCAUUGUUUGUCUUCCGUAAGCACAGAAUCCACAGCGUGGAGCACACGCUACAGUGUCUACCGCCAUUGGAGUAAUACAAUGUCGAAUAGUGAAUUAAGUUAGGUAGGGAGGAUCUGUUCGCAGCGAGACUGGACGAUUAAACCACAGAGCCUUUCAAAUUCAAGCCCGCCGAUUGAAAGAAGACUUGGGAAUGGUGAGAGGAGCCUUAGGGGAUGUACGCAGGGACUGUGAGCUGGACGAUACUGUCUGAAGUGAGACUUCCGUUCCAACAC